AAAUAGUAAAUGGGAAAGCAGAUGAGAGCCCUGAGAGAGCCAUGCAGAGUGGAGCUGGAUGGACGUGGGCGGCAUAUCCAGAAACCGACGCCAGAACCACACUGUCUGGCUUUGAAUCCCAGCUCUACCACUUACUGAUCGGCUAACUUCUGUUUCAUCCGGAAGGGAUUCCACCUGCAAGAGCCUUAUAAGCAAAGCUUUUUUCACAGGAAAAAUAUUGCACAAAGAAAAAGUUUCCACGCUGUGAUUGCUUGCAUUCUGGCUAUACCAUAAAAAGGUUGACGAUCGUAGGAAGCAAGUGUGGAAGCAGGGCGACCAGUGAGGAGAUGGCUGCAGAGACCCAGCUGGGAGCUGAUGCUGGCCUGGCCUGGAGUGGGGGCAAAUAGAGAAUUUACAGGUCCCUCAAUGAUGUGCAGAGGAAGGCUGGUGCCGACUGUCUGACUCCAGGUCAGCCCGCACUGCCCUGUGGCCCCGGAGCUGCCCUUCUCCAGAUGAUGAGCUCCAGGGUCAUUCUGAGUCACUACUGCCUUUGUCUCGAUCUCAGGGUUGAGUGGCCUCCCAGUUGUCAUGGUGCUGUUUUUUGACCCAAGGAUGGAGACCUGACUCAAGCCUAUCAAUCAGAGUGCUUCCCUGGGAAGUUGGACCAGGAACUGAUGAUUGGAGCUCUAACAUGGAACCUGUACCAUGGGUGGCCAUGGUGUUCUGCUCUGUGGGUCAGAAAAGCAGAUGGAGCUGAUCUGCAAAGCGAAAGAUAAGAACGAAGCACAUGUGUAGGCUUAGAGCAGAAGAGCUGAAACACGGAGAGUCCUGCUGGGGUUUGAGUUUCUGGUUGCAAUACAUAUUUGCCCCAGUUAAAGUCCCGUCCUUGGGUCCUGUGAGAUAUCCUGGAUCCUUAUCAUAAAUGUCAACUUUUUUCACUCCAUCUAACUCAAAUGUGUUUCUGACUACCAAAAGAGUCUGAAUAAUUUGUACUUCAAAUCUACUUCUAUCACCUCAGGUCUAAGCAGAAAUAGAUUUUCCAUGAAGUUCAUGAAGCUUAAGUUUCAGAGUUUCUCACUCACAAAGGCCCCUUCCAAAGCCCCAUUUUGUAUUUGUACUUUUUUUGUUUUAAGAUUGGCCCUGAGCUAACAUCUGUUGCUAAUCUUCCUCUUUUUUUUUCCUCCCCAAAGCCCCAGUGCAUAGUUGUACAUCCUAGUUGUAAGUGAUUCUAGUUCUUCUAUGUGGGACACUGCCUCAGCCUGGCUUGAUGAGCAGUACUAGGUCUGUGCCAGGGAUCCAAACUGGUGAACCCCUGGGCUGCCAACGUAGAGCAUGCAAACUUAACCACUUGGCCAUGGGGCUGGCCCCAGUACUUUUGUUUUCUUUUUCUUAAAGAGGGUGCCCCAAAUUGUAUAAGUUUCAGACCACAUAAAAUGUGGAUUUGCCCUGUGUAUGCUUUCCUCUCUGUAGUUGCAAAGGUUGGGUGAUUUCAGGAAGGCUCGUCCUCCAUAACACCAAACUCACGGCAACGUUAGGGCCUUUGGCGAGUCUCCUCUACCUGCAAGGUUUCUCCCCCAGACCUUUGCAGAGUUGGCUCCUUCUUAGGGAUCAGGUCUUACCUUCAGUGUCAUUGCCUCCAAGAGGCCUUCCCUGUAUACUCAGUCUAAGGAGUUCUGGGGUCUCUAUCACACCAUCCUCUUUAAUUUUCAUGACAAUUUCUCGUUUAUUCAUUUAUUUCCUUUUUGUCCAUCUCCUCCUGCUCUUUCUAAAAUGAAAGUACUGUAAGAGCAGGAACCCUGUCUUCUUUACUACUGUAUUCCCAAGCAUCUAGAAGAGCGCCUGGCACAUUGUAGGCCUUCAGUAAACAUGUGUUAGGAUUAUAUUUAUUUAUCAGAUAGUAAAGUGCUUGUGUGCUGGG
ensembl:lncRNA